UACAGAGGGUGCAAGCGUUAAUCGGAAUUACUGGGCGUAAAGCGCGCGUAGGUGGUUUGUUAAGUUGGAUGUGUAAUCCCCGAGCUCAACUUGGGAACUGCAUCCAAGACUGGAUUGCUAGAGUGUGGCAGAGGGGGGUGGAAUUCCACGUGUAGCAGUGAAAUGCGUAGAGAUGUGGAGGAACACCGAUGGCGAAGGCAGCCCCCUGGGCCAAUACUGACGCUCAUGCACGAAAGCGUGGGGAGCAAACAGGAUUAGAAACCCUAGUAGU
rnacentral:rRNA from 1 species